AACGAACGCUAUCGGUAUGCUUAACACAUGCAAGUCGGACGGACUAAUUAGGGCUUGCUCCAAUUAGUUAGUGGCAGACGGGUGAGUAACACGUGGGAAUCUGCCCAUCAGUACGGAAUAACUUUUAGAAAUAAAAGCUAAUACCGUAUAUUCUCUACAGAGGAAAGAUUUAUCGCUGAUGGAUGAGCCCGCGUCAGAUUAGGUAGUUGGUGAGGUAACAGCUCACCAAGCCGACGAUCUGUAGCUGGUCUGAGAGGAUGAUCAGCCACACUGGGACUGAGACACGGCCCAGACUCCUACGGGAGGCAGCAGUGGGGAAUAUUGGACAAUGGGCGAAAGCCUGAUCCAGCAAUACCGAGUGAGUGAUAAAGGCCCUAGGGUUGUAAAGCUCUUUUAGCAAGGAAGAUAAUGACGUUACUUGCAGAAAAAGCCCCGGCUAACUCCGU
rnacentral:rRNA from 1 species